UAAAGACACAGAUUCUAUGCCCUGGCUGCACUGCCUGGGGAUGAGACAGGGGUGGUGUAGGCAAUGUUGAAACUAUCCUUCCUAUAAUAUUCAUUGUGUCUUUCCUUGUUAUAAUGCUAAAACCAGGUAAACAGCAGGAGAAGAGCAUUGGAGCACCAAGAAUAGCAUGAGUGAUAAGUGAGAGGACAUUGUGGUUGCAAGAGGAGCCAACUGUAGCCACUUAUUCUUCACCUUAGAAGAAAUACCUCAUAAUGCCCUGGACCACCGGACUCAGAAAUUUUACUAAGAUGGAAGACCCUUGAAUUUUUGAGUGGUUUACCUCCCACCUUCUGACACAUAAAGAAUUAGUUUAUCCUAGAAAUAGAUGAAGAAUGUUUUCAGAGACAACUGAUGAAAUUUCAUAUAUCAGUGAUGUGAAACUAAAAAAAAAAAA